CAGGAAUACGUCUCCCUCAGUAAUAGGUUGGCGCAGAGCUGGGCAUCACGUUGUUCCAUUGUGCUUGGGGUCGCCGUGAAUUGGGGCGAACUCGACAGCAGAUACAACAACAAGAGUACCAGGCUCAGAAACGCUGGAGAGAGCAGCCUUUUCUUCUUAUUUGUUUGCUCCAAAAUUCAAAAAGCAGCUCCUUUGAGGUGCCAGCCACACUAUGAGGUGCAUUGCCACAUUCCCAGCAGGAACACGGAGCUGUGAGGACCCUGUGGUUGAGCCCAUUGUCACACUGCUUACAUAAGACACAACUGUCCCUUGCCGCCUGGAGGAGCAUUUGAAGCGGGACACGUCGUUUUAAAUGCAGUGCAGAGGGAAGAAGAUGAGAAGAACAGCACUCUCCAAGAUUACUCCUGAUCCUUUUAUGCAACAACUAGAUCUCAGUUUAAAACUCAAGAAGUAAGAAUAUAAAUGAAGACAAAAAAA